AGUCGGGUUGUUUGGGAAUGCAGCCCAAAAUGGGUGGUAAACUCCAUCUAAAGCUAAAUAUAGGCACGAGACCGAUAGCGAACAAGUACCGUGAGGGAAAGAUGAAAAGAACUUUGAAAAGAGAGUUAAAAAGUACGUGAAACCGUUGAAAGGGAAACGAAUGGAGUUAGCAAUGCACUCUGCAAGAUUCAGCCGGCGGGUGACUCGGAUGGGCGGUUGGCGGAUCUGAAUGGACCGCCGUCGUCCAGCUCGUGUUCCCUGCCGUCGCACUUCUUACGGGUGCGCGUCAACGUCGGUUCGGAUCCGGUCUUAAAGGUCCGCGGGAAGGUAGGUCGGACGCUUCGGUGCCCUUCUGUUACAGCCCACGUUUCUUAUGGCCGAGUCCGGACCGAGGCGUCGCAGCGCAUGCCUCUUUUGGCUAGGGUCCUUUGGCGCUUCCGGUUGUCGAUUGYGGUGGACUGCGUGCAGUGCACCCGAACCGCUGCCGGUCGUCGCGGAGGUGACUUCGUACAAUGCGCUCAGGACGUUGGCG
rnacentral:rRNA from 1 species